AGCUCGUGGGAGUUUAAUAUCCUGACACCAAGUAUGAAACAAGUAAUGGCAGAGACAGCCUCGAUUAGAUGAUAUCGUAUUUUGAGAAGAUGCGACCUAUGGUGACAGGAUUUUAUUAAGGAAAUAUGAUCGAAUCACAAAUGUUUUCUUCUUUUCUUCUGCAAAUAUAGAUUCAGAUAUACUCUUUCAACCAAGAAACUAAAACUCGCCUACCUUUCAACAAAUCAUAAGUUGUUUGAAUACAUAUGUACAAAAAUAUAAGAAAUUAACAUUGUACGUUGAACAAUCUUCGAACUAUGCGCUUAGCUUGUUGGAAAGUGUUUUUACAUUUAAAGCUUAACCUAGUAACUCACGAAGAUUUCACAAUACGAGGAAAUGCUAUUAUUACCUAUAAAACAAGACGAAUAAUGCAGUAUGCUUAGUUAGCUUAAAUCGCUAGCAACAACUUUGUUGUGGACCAUGAAUAAAAAUAACUCAAUUUAAUAGAUAAGAAAGUU